AUCAUUGACGACCAGCAGCAGCAGCGGUACCGCCUCCUGUAGGCGCAAUUUGCCCACAACACAGAGGAUCGUUUUUAUUCUGCGGUUUACUGCGGUAAAGCCCGCUUUAUAUCAUCUAUGCUACGUGUAUGAGCGCGUCUUGAACUGCUUUUUCCCCCCCAGCAUGGUCCCGAUGUGGAUCUGAAGCGGCCGGGAGAACAUUAGAGCGGACCAAGUGAGAUGCAUCCUCGGAGCGCUGAACCUGUUCCACCCCGCCGCACACAAAGCCUGUGAAGCAGGCCGUGGUUUUUUCCCUCACGCAGACACCGCGCCGAUGAUGCUCAAACAUGUCGGGGAAUCAUUACAAAGGCAACGAAGUCAGCUGCUGCAUCAAAUACUUCAUUUUUGGAUUCAACAUCCUGUUUUGGCUCCUGGGCAUGGCCUUAGUUGGAAUUGGACUGUGGGCAUGGAGUGAGAAGGGAGUCCUGUCCAACAUCUCGUCCAUCACAGACCUGGGGGGCCUGGACCCAGUCUGGCUCUUCAUGGUGGUCGGGGGGGUCAUGUUCAUUCUGGGCUUUGCAGGAUGCAUCGGUGCACUGCGGGAGAACACGUUUCUACUCAAGUUUUUCUCCGUGUUUCUGGGAAUCAUCUUUUUCUUGGAGCUGACGACGGGAAUCCUGGCAUUUGUCUUUAAGGACUGGAUUAAAGACCAGCUCAACCUGUUCAUCAACAAUAACAUUCGGGCGUACCGCGACGACAUCGAUCUACAGAACCUCAUCGACUUCACUCAGGAAUAUUGGGAGUGCUGUGGUGCGUUUGGGGCAGACGACUGGAACCUGAACAUCUAUUUUAACUGUACUGAUGGGAAUCCCAGUCGGGAAAAGUGUGGAGUUCCCUUCUCCUGCUGCACCAAGGACCCAGCGGAGGAUGUAAUAAACACUCAGUGUGGAUAUGACAUUCGAGCUAAACCAGACUCGGAGCAGAAGGACUACAUCAACGUGAAGGGCUGCGUGCCGCAGUUUGAGAAGUGGCUGCAGGACAACCUCACCUUGGUGGCCGGGAUCUUUAUUGGAGUUGCACUACUGCAGAUUUUUGGGAUUUGUUUGGCCCAAAACUUAGUGAGUGACAUCGAAGCUGUGCAGGCGAGCUGGGUGCCCCCUCCUCUCUCCAUGCGUCGCCUCCCACCACACUCCAGCAAGAAAGCAUCGGCUUACUACUCAUGAGACACAGAAACACAUGCACUGUGUGUGUUUGUAGCCGUUUCUUCACCUGAUGCUGAAGCAGCAUUUCAAUCCUAACAGCUCCGGGUCUUUGAAUGCGCCUCCUUGAACACACGGUCAGCGGAGCGUUCAGAGGACCACGUCGAUCACCGGCACCACUUUGUCCACUGAACCAGCACCUUUUUUUCAAGGCACUAAUAUGUGAAAUGCCCUGUAUAUAACACUGUGUGACUUGUUGUUGCAGAGGAUGGUUAAACAUGCACUACAUGCACGUUGUCACAAUGCUCUGGUUUUUAUAGCUACGUGUAGAGAGUAGGAGUUUUGAUACAUCUUUUUGAUAUUAGAUUGGUAUUUUUCACUGUGGAAAUAACGCUCCAUUGCUAAAACCCAUCAUGUAGGACUGUGUAAUAGUUGUGUACAAGAAACUAAGGAUUUGCUUCUUUUAAAGUGGAGUGCUUGCUUUAUGUACCUUUCCACCAUGUGUCUCGGACUGUGCAUACGGUGGCGCCAGAGAUCAGCUGAAUAGUCUCUUGAUACUAACUCAUCCAGCAUGAAAGCGGAAAUGACUACAAAUUACUCCAAUUAUUUAGCAUACUGAGUUACUAAUGGACUAAGGGGUCAGCUAAUUUAGUGUUGUUAUUAAAAAAAAGAGUUAUUGGUUGUUAUAAGUUUUCCUACUCUCAAUACUGACUGUGAAAUAAUCCCUUCGUAGCGGAAAAAAUCCAGUCCUCAUUGCGUAUAAAAAUGCUUUCCAGAGUUGGAAGCUGAAGCUAAAAUCUGGCUUUAACAGUCAGAGUUAGCCGAAUCGCUGUUUGGUCCCAGCGACUACAAAUUAGGAUUGGGCAUCAAGAACUGGUUCCAACUUGGAAUCGUUUCAAAAAUUACGAUUCCAAUGGAAUAGUUUUUUUUUAUUGGAAUCGUAUGAAAAAAUUGGUUUUGAAUCCGACUACAGUUCCAAAUUUAAAGGGUAACUACCAUUUUUUUUUUUUUUUUUUUUUCUUCAACCUGGACCCUAUGUUCCUAUGUGUUUGUGUCUAAGUGACUGAUAGGACCAACAAUCUUUGACAUUGGUCCAGUAUUAAGCGAGAUCGCUGCAGUCUGAGCACUUUAGUGAAUCCAAUCCAAUCCAAUCCACUUUAUUUAUAUAGCACGAUUUUAACAAACACAAGGUUUCCAAAGUGCUGCACAAAAGAUAAAACAAAGUAAAUAGAUAACACAAUAAAAGCAGAGGUACCCACUGUAAAAUAAAUGCAAUAAAAAACGAUUUAAAUUGAAUUAAAUAAGUAAACAUCAAUUAAAAUAUGCAAAUAUGCACAUAACGUCAACACUCUACCUGGUGUUAAAAGCCAAAGAAAAGAGGUAGGUUUUAAGAAGAGUUUUAAAAUUAGACAGAGAGGAGGCUUGUCUAAUGUGCAGAGGCAGUCUGUUCCAAAGUUUUGGAGCUGCAACGGCAAACACUCGAUCCCCUCUGAGCUUGAGCCGAGCUUUAGGCACCGUCAGCAGCUGGUCAGCUGACCUGAGAGAUGGGCUAGGAGUGUAAGGGUGCAGCAGCUCAGAGAGGUAAGGUGGGGCAAGGCCAUUCAAGGCUUUAAAAACAAAUAAAAGAAUUUAAAAAUGAAUCCUGAAAUGGACAGGCAACCAGUGGAGUGAAGCUAAAAUAGGUGAAAUGUGGUCAUACUUUCUUGUGCCAGUAAAAUGCAUUACAGUAAUCCAGCCGAGUAGUCACAAAGGCAUGGAUUACUGUCUCAAAAUCUUGUCUCUGAAGGAUUGGUUUUAUUUUUGCCAGCUGCCUUAACUGAAAAAAGCUAGACUUCACCACAGCUUUAAUCUGGCUGUCAAAUUUGAGAUCACAGUCCACUUUUACCCCCAAAUUUUUUAUAAUUGGCUUGCGAUACUGUGCUAGAGGAGUGGUAACAGAAGUAACACCAAAGACCAUGACUUCUGUCUUUUCUUCAUUAAAAUUUAGAAAAUUUAAAGACAUCCAAGCUUUAAUGUCGUGUAAACACUCUAGCAGUGGGUUAACAGAGUAGGACUCUGUCUUUUUGAGGGGGACGUAGAGCUGGCUGUCAUCAGCAUAACAGUGAAAGGAAAUCCCAUGUUUCCUAAGAAUGGAACCAAGAGGGAGUAGAUAAAUAGAAAAUAAAAGAGGGCCGAGCACAGAGCCCUGUGGGACCCCACAUGAAAGAGGAGCAGCGGAGGAUACAGAGUCAUCAAGGCCGACACAGAAAGUCCGAUGUGACAGGUAGGACUUGAACCAUUCCAGUGCUGUGCUACUGACGCCCACCCACUGCUCCAAACGAGCAAUGAGGAUAUCAUGGUCGACUGUAUCGAAUGCUGCAGUCAAAUCUAAAAGUACAAGGAUAACACAGUGACCAGAGUCAGUAGCUAAAAAGAUAUCAUUAAAAACUCUUGAUUAAUUAAUCUGCAAUGUUUUAAAACCGGAUUGGAAAAUUUCCAGGAUACUUUGUUCAUUUAAAAAGUCCAUGAGCUGGGAAUAUACAAUAAUAUACAGUAAAUACAAGCUCAACAAUUGUCC